rnacentral:rRNA from 1 species
UACGUAAGAGACUAGUGUUAUUCAUCAUAAUUAGGUUUAAAGGGUACCUAGACGGUCAAAAUAGCAUGUUAAAUGUAAAAUGUAACUACUUGACUAGAGUUUUUAUGGAAGAGGGCAGAACUUGCGGAGGAGAGAUAAAAAUUUCGUAAUACCAAAAAGGACUGGUAAAGGUGAAGACAGCCCUUUAUUUAAAAACUGACGUUGAGGGACGAAGGCAUAGGUAACAAAAAGG